CGCCGCUGACUCGAUUUUUCGCGGCCUUGCUAAACCCGCCGGCACGUCCUUGUCAACAUCCCCUCUGCUUGGACGCAACGCAAUCAUGGAAUUGGAAUCCUGCUAAUCACCGUGUGACGCACUUGCCCAAAUCCAAAUCCGCCUGUCCUGCCUCUCUAAUAUGGUACUAAUCCAAUCCAAGCACCUCUAAAUCCAACCGAUAAAGCUUCCGCUUUUCCGGCCGUACCCACGCGGCGGCCUCCGGUUCGUCGUCGCGAGGACCCGACAGCGAGAGGCGAAUGGAACGGGAGGUGGGCAAAAGCAAGAGCAAGACAUCCGCCCAGUUGCCUCUUGAUCAAGGAACCGGUGGUGGAUGGAUGUGGAGCUGCCCUACGUCAGGUGGCACAGCUGUGCGUGCUUCCCCACUAAUUCUAAUUCUAGGUUGUUGUCUGCUUAGUAUAUUCAGUCGCGUGGCGAGGGGACGAGCAUCAAGUGGCAGAGUUGUGUUGUGCCGGCUGUUAUCCAUCCGAGAGCAAAGCAAAAGCGAAGGUGAAGAUUCCGGCGUCGGCUGCAGGGUGCCCGUGCGUGCUGGUUGGAGAUUGCUCCGGUUCAUCACCGCCAAGGCUAGGUGUUUGUGGAAUUCCCCGCCUCCUUUGCAAGGAAAGGCUGCUAGGAAGAGGGAGAGCGAGGAAAGGAUGGGCAUGCCGCGGGGGCUGUCGGCGUACAUGGUGGACAUGGUGUGGGCGGUGCUCGCCGGGUGGGUGUCGGCGUGCCUGCUGGUCGCCAACGAGAUCGCCCGCGGCAUGCGGGCCGGGGAGAUCGGCCCCUUCGUCGUAGGCUGAAUCUCACUCCUGGGGAAAUCCUCCCUCCCUUCUGACUCCUUCCUUCAGGCUGAUAGUUUUUUGGCGGAUCCAUCCAUGGAUACACAUUGCAUUAUACUGUACAAAGUCCCUAAAUCUCCAUUAGUGUUGAGCUGAAUGGCUUGGCCAUUAAUAGAAGUGACAGAGAUUCUAGAUGAUGCUUUCUUCUCUCCUUCCUUUCCACAAUUCUUCUGUUCUGUAUUAGUAUUGUGAAGAAUUUAUUUUUCCUUUUACAUUAUAGUUCUCUAAAGAUAUGUGCAUCUGCUUAAGAAUGGGUCAUAAACAUAUGUGCAACUUCAUGUUAUGUUCUUUUACAUUA